GGGUUGGCGGAGGGGGUGGAGGGGAUUAUGGGAUUGUUGCAGGGGAAGCAUCCGGUAUGUGAAGAUGAUGGUUUUUGGGGAGUAGGAGAUGAGCUAACUGUGGUACAGGAAUUUGUUGCGAAGCACCUGGUGGUGUGAGAUGGGUAUGAGGAGGGGGUUAUGAUGGAUGAUGGAACGGCAGCAUUAGAGUUUAUGGGAGUUUUGAGCGGGUGCAUUAUGAGACUGGAUGACGGCGUCUGGGGAUGAAAAUUUAGCAUGGUAGCAAGAAUGAAUUUGACAUGAAUCAACCUUUGCAUGUAAACUGUAGCUUCAGAAAUGAUCCCUCAAUAGUUGGUUCUCAAGCACCACAUACCAUCGUUUCUGGUGGGGAUUUGUUGCCAAUACACACUUAUUCCAGGCGCGGCGACAAUGAUAAAGUUAAACUAAAAUUACCAUCAAAAAAUACUCCCACAGAGACCCAACAAAUAGAAGCCUUAUUAAGUGAAGUUGUAAGGCGCCCCAUGAAUCUCACCCCACCACCUACCUACCCACAGGUACCGGCCAAUCGUUAUUCCGCGCCUCGCAAGCUGCCCGAUAAACUCACUUUGAGCCCACCCAUCCCCAAUCCGCAACCAAGCUCUACUCCGGCGCAACAAACUCACCCAUUCCUCCGCCAUGAGAAUGAGAAUACCACUUCAACCGUGAGCAACGCCCAAACCGUUUCAACCACGCUUGCCACACCAUGUCAUCCCACGCAAUCCACCACGCGCUCCUCCGCCCCUGCGUCCUCCACAUCCUGCGCGCCGCAGGCUACCACUCCACCAAAGCCUGGGUAAUCUUGUUAAACUCUGUCGUGCUGGGGAUAGAGCAUUGCAAUUAUUGCUCUUCAACGAGGAAUUCCUAGUAGGCGCGAGUCAUCAGCUCGUGCCGACUACGUCCCUGCCCUUUGUACACACCGCCCGUCGCUACUACCGAUUGAACGGCUAAGUGAGGCUUUCGCCCUCCGUUCUCGACGCUCUCACCGACAUCGCAGGGCGCUACAUGCUCCUCCUCGCGACCUCGACAGCGAAUCACGCAGCGGCUGACCCGAGCGAGUUGGGGAUCUCGAUCACGGAUGUGAGGCUCGCGAUGCAGGAUUGCGCGGCUAUAGUGCCGGAGAAGGUGUGGGAGGAUCAGGUGUUUGAUGAUGAGGAGGAUGUGAGGGGCGUGGAGGCUUUUGUGGAGUGGGCGAGGGGGGAGGCGAAUGCGGAGAUUAGGAGGGUGGCGUUGGAGGGGGGGG
rnacentral:ncRNA from 1 species